rnacentral:lncRNA from 1 species
CAGAGCCCUCACCUUUCAUCCACUGACUCUUUCCUCCUAGGAUCCCAGCCUCGUCUCAGACCUGGGCAGCUGGGAUCUAGGAAAGGCGUAUCAGGUGCCAUUAUUGAUUGAACGCCCUCCAUGCAUUGGCCUCAGACCAUAUGCAGAAUUCGACUACUGCACCUGACCAGUUGGUUCACAUUUUAAACAAAUAAAUAGGCUAGGGGUCUAAACGGAGAUGUAGCCGCCGGCCUACACCACAGCCACGGCAACACCAGAUCCUUAAUCCACUGAGUGAGGCCAGGGAUCAAACCCGCAACCUCAUGGUUCCUAGUCGGAUUCGUUAACCACUGAGCCACGACAGGAUCUCCAAGAAUCAUAUUCUUUAUAAACAUCCAAAUAUUAUAGAAAUAACAGCUAUAGAGUGACUGUCCCAUGCAAUCCUAAUUGCCCCCUAAAUCAUUGUCCAUUAUUGGGUGGAAAUUCCUCCAGCUCUUCUCUUUUAUGUAUGCUGACAUAUUAUCAUCAUGGAUGUCGAUAGUAAUCUUUUUUCCCCGUAGGCAAUCAUAGUUUUUCAUUUAAUGUAUUUCGGACAUCUUUCCAUGUCAGAAAAUACAGUUUCAUUUUAUUUCCUUUAAGAGUUGUGUAGGGCUCAUGUUCACGUUCAGCAUUCCCCAGGGUGGGUUCAGGUUCUUUUCCAAUCAGCAGAGCCACAGGUGUGACGUGACCUAAAUUCUUACCUCAAUGCCCCGCUUGUUCCUUUUGGGUCUUGGACCUGACUCAAGGAGAAGCAAGCUCAGGAGGGACUCAGCUUUUGGUUUCUGUGACCAUAAGAGACCCUCGCAUUUCUCUCGUCCUCACCAUGAACCAGGUACAGUUCCCAGCCCCAUUUUCUGGGUGAGGCGACAGAGACCUAGAGAGGUGACGUUAACUUGCUUGCUCAAGUCCAUAUGGUUAGAAAUUAGAAAGGUGGAAUUCAAACCCUGGCUCCAUGAUUCCAAAGCCUGUGUAUUUAGCACCACACUUUCUCCUUAUCUCUUUCGAGAGUCUUUUUACCUAAAGAUGAGGUGGUCUCCGCAGCGUGUCACGUUGGGGUCGAUUGUGGAGGAAGAGUUAGUGCGUAAAGAGGGGCUCUGCCCCUUCCCCUUCUGGAGCACAUCACAAACACCAGCAUGUAAAGGAGGACUUGUCCCAAGAAGCACCUUCCUGGAGUUCCACUGUGGCUCAGCGGUGAUGAACCUGACUAGUAUCGUGAGGAUGAAGGUUCGAUCCCUGGCCUCAUUCAGUGGGUCAGCUUCAGCUCCAGUUCAACCCCUAGCCUGGGAAUUUCUAUAUACCACAGGUGCAGCCUUAAAAAAAAAAAAAAAAAAAAAAA